rnacentral:misc_RNA from 1 species
GAUGAAGAACGUAGCGAAAUGCGAUACUUGGUGUGAAUUGCAGAAUCCCGUGAACCAUCGAGUCUUUGAACGCAAGUUGCGCCCGAAGCCACUAGGCCGAGGGCACGCCUGCCUGGGCGUCACACGCCGUUGCCCCCCAUCUACUCCUUCGGGAUUGCGGGGGGGCGGAUGAUGGCCUCCCGUGCGCCUAGCCGCGCGGUUGGCAUAAAUACCAAGUCCUCGGCGACGCACGCCACGACAAUCGGUGGUUGCGAAACCUCGGUUGCCCGUCGUGUGCGUUCGUCGCGCAUCGAGGGCUCGAAAAAAUGCUCGGCUCCGGCUGGGCUUUCAACGCGACCCCAGGUCAGGCGGGGUUACCCGCUGAAUUUAAGCAUAUCAAUAAGCGGGA